UACAGAGGGGGCAAGCGUUGUUCGGAAUUACUGGGCGUAAAGGGCGCGUAGGCGGCCUCCGCAAGUCAGUUGUGAAAUCUCCGAGCUUAACUCGGAAAGGUCAACUGAUACUGCGGGGCUAGAGUCCGGAAGAGGCGAGUGGAACUCCUGGUGUAGCGGUGGAAUGCGCAGAUAUCAGGAAGAACACCAACGGCGAAGGCAGCUCGCUAGGACGGUACUGACGCUGAGACGCGAAAGCGUGGGGAGCAAACAGG
rnacentral:rRNA from 1 species